rnacentral:rRNA from 1 species
CCUACGGGUGGCAGCAGUGGGGGAUAUUGCACAAUGGGGGGAACCCUGAUGCAGCGACGCCGCGUGGGUGAAGAAGCGCCUCGGCGCGUAAAGCCCUGUCAGCAGGGAAGAAAAUGACGGUACCUGAAGAAGAAGCCCCGGCUAACUACGUGCCAGCAGCCGCGGUAAUACGUAGGGGGCAAGCGGUAUCCGGAUUUACUGGGUGUAAAGGGGGCGCAGACGGCGAUGCAAGCCAGGAGGGAAAGCCCGGGGGCCAACCCCGGGACUGCUCUUGGAACUGCGUGGCUGGAGUGCAGGAGGGGCAGGCGGAAUGCCUGGUGUAGCGGUGAAAUGCGUAGAUAUCAGGAGGAACACCGGUGGCGAAGGCGGCCUGCUGGACUGCAACUGACGUUGAGGCCCGAAAGCGUGGGGAGCAAACAGGAUUAGAUAGCCCAGUAGUC